AGGUAGCAUAAUCAUUUGUUAUCUAAAUGAUAACUAGUAUGAAUGGUCUGACGAGAAAAUAACUUUCUAAAAAGAAGAGAUGAAAAUUUAUUUAAAAGUAAAAAAGCUUUAAAGCUUUAGAAAGACGAGAAGACCCUAGAACCUGUUCUAUUCAUAUAGUUUGUUGGGGUGACAUUAUUCAAAACAAAUAACUAUUAAAACUUAUUAAUUGACUCUAUCUAUCUUUAUUAAAAAAAAAAAAGGUACUCUAGGGAUAACAGCAUAAUCUUCUUUUAGAGCCCUAAUCGACAAGAAAGAUUUUGACCUCGAUGUUGAAUUGAUAUUUCUUUCUAAAGCAGAA
rnacentral:rRNA from 1 species